rnacentral:rRNA from 1 species
UGACAAGAAAUAACAAUACGGGGCUUAAUGUCUUGUAAUUGGAAUGAUGGGAAUUUAAACCUCUUCCAGAGUAUCAAUUGGAGGGCAAGUCUGGUGCCAGCAGCCGCGGUAAUUCCAGCUCCAAUAGCGUAUAUUAAAGUUGUUGCAGUUAAAAAGCUCGUAGUUGAACUUUGGGCCCGGUUGGCCGGUCCGAUUUUUUCGUGUACUGGAUUUCCAACGGGGCCUUUCCUUCUGGCUAACCUUGAGUCCUUGUGGCUCUUGGCGAACCAGGACUUUUACUUUGAAAAAAUUAGAGUGUUCAAAGCAGGCGUAUUGCUCGAAUAUAUUAGCAUGGAAUAAUAGAAUAGGACGUUUGGUUCUAUUUUGUUGGUUUCUAGGACCAUCGUAAUGAUUAAUAGGGACGGUCGGGGGCAUCAGUAUUCAACUGUCAGAGGUGAAAUUCUUAG